rnacentral:rRNA from 1 species
AUUGAACGCUGGCGGCAGGCCUAACACAUGCAAGUCGAGCGAGCGGCGGACGGGUGCGUAAUGUAUGGGGACUGCCCGCUAGAGGGGGAUGACUACUGGAAACGGUGGCUAAUAACGCAUAAUAUCGGCUCACCCAUAUGGGAUUAGCUAGUAGGUGGGGUAAAGGCUCAGCUAGGCGACGAGUUCUAGCUGGUCGGAGAGGAUGAGCAGCCACACUGUGACUGAGACAGGUCCCAGACGCCUACGGAGGCAGCAGUGGGGAAUAUUGCACAAUGGGCGCAAGCCUGAUGCAGCCAUGCGGCGUGUAGGAAGAAGGCCUUAGGGUUGUAAAGUACUUUCAGCGGGGAGGCGUUACCCGCAGAAGAAGCACCGGCGAACUCCGUGCCAGCAGCCGCGGUAAUUC